rnacentral:rRNA from 1 species
AGCGAACGCUGGCGGCAGGCUUAACACAUGCAAGUCGAGCGGGCACUUCGGUGUCAGCGGCAGACGGGUGAGUAGCACGUGGGAACGUACCCUUCGGUUCGGAAUAACGCUGGAAAACUAGCGCUAAUACCGGAUACGCCCUUUUGGGGAAAGGUUUACUGCCGAAGGAUCGGCCCGCGUCUGAUUAGCUAGUUGGUGGGGUAAUGGCCUACCAAGGCGACGAUCAGUAGCUGGUCUGAGAGGAUGAUCAGCCACACUGGGACUGAGACACGGCCCAGACUCCUACGGGAGGCAGCAGUGGGGAAUAUUGGACAAUGGGCGCAAGCCUGAUCCAGCCAUGCCGCGUGAGUGAUGAAGGCCUUAGGGUUGUAAAGCUCUUUUGUCCGGGACGAUAAUGACGGUACCGGAAGAAUAAGCCCCGGCUAACUUCGUG